CACGCGUCGGCCACUCCACCUCGGGCGCUCUGAAGCCGGCCGCAUGGAGACUGGGGGACGGUGAUGGCCAAGGGACAGUGGAAAAAUGGCAGGGCAGACCCCCUUGGAUUUGCCCACGUGGAGUUUGGAUAUUUACCUGGCUUCUUUGUCAAGUCUUGGGCCUGAUGCAGGUAAGUGUGGCGGGGCCCUUGGAGAUCUGUUGGAACAGUUGCAAGGGGCCACUGUAGACCAGCAAUCGCCAUGGCUGCAGCAUUGGUGCCAAGCAAGAAGUCCCAUCAUGUUCCACACACCAAGGCUGAGGAGGCAUAGAGUUACCUGCUGCAGAUGAGUAGAGUAGCAGCCCUCUGUCCUUCCAUGAAAGGAGACUCCAUGGGAGACAAUGGUACGUUUCUGUGCGGUCACUAGCACCCUCAUGACUUGCUUACUCUUAACACUUACUUUUUUAACAGGUUGCAGACGUAUGGCCACCGGUUCAUGUAGUCAACAGGUCAGGGGGGCUGUUGCCACCGAAGGAAGGGGGAUAGUGCUGACAAGACUGAUGGUAAUGAUGACAUCUAACGUACAUGGAGCAGCUCUAUCUGCCAGACACUAAGCUCACACUGCAAGUGCCUUCUCCCAGAAGACUUGAUACCGGGAUAUCCUGAGAGCCAAAUCAAAAGCUGCUUUCCACCAGGUGCUUAAGGGAGCACUGAAGAAGACCAAAGGAACUGUGACUCCCUAAGCUCAGGGAAUAGUCAAUAAAUCUCUUUGCUGGCCCGCUGGCAUAGGCUUGUAGUCUCAGCGACUUAUGAGUUGAGGCAGAAGGAUAAGUAGUUCAAGGCCAGCCUUGUCAACUUACCAAAACUGUCUCAAAUUUUUGAAAAAGAAAAGCAGAGUAGGGAAUAUCAGGCAAGGAUAGAAUGCUUACCCAGCAUGCACCAGGUCACCGAGUCAAUCCCUAGAACUGAAGAGAAAAGUGAUCUCCUCUUUAAAAGGAACUAUUUUCUGACUAUCCUGGAAAUGGAUGGUUCUAGAAGAGUUUCAUACUCAACCCUGAGACUUGUGGGAAAUCUCAGAUUUGGAGUCUUCGUAGCUAACCACUUCAGGUAUAGUGUCCCCAACUGGGAUGACAGAUAGGAACCUCACAGUGUCCCCAGUCUCAUGUUCCUUUUGCCUUAGGAAAUCCUUGGGGUCUAAAACUGCACCAAGUAUAAGAGAUAACUCCCCUUACCUCCUUGGAGAUGAGGAUUGGUACCAUUAUGUACAGACUUUAGGCAGGGUGCUCAAGUCCUCCCUUACCCAUCUCUUCUUGUCUAACCUAAGGGAUAAAGAGCUUGCUUUCAAAUGUUAUUAACACUGGGACAAUGGGCAAGAGAACACUAAUGUUUCGUGAUGCAUGAAAUAAAAAGAAAUUUACAUUUAA
ensembl:processed_transcript BC006965 cDNA sequence BC006965